UACGUAGGGGGCGAGCGUUGUCCGGAUUUACUGGGCGUAAAGCGCACGCAGGCGGUCUGCUAAGUUUGGAGUGACAGUUGGUGGCUUAACUGCCAAAGUGCUUCGAAAACUGACAGACUUGAGGGCUUCAGAGGGACACGGAAUUCCGGGUGGAGUGGUGAAAUGCGCAGAUAUCAGGAGGAACACUGGUGGCGAAGGCGGGUCUCUGGGCCGAUACUGACGCUGAGGAGCGAAAGCGUGGGGAGCGAACAGG
rnacentral:rRNA from 1 species